GAUGAACGCUGGCGGCGUGCCUAAUACAUGCAAGUCGAACGCUUCACUUCGGUGAAGAGUGGCGAACGGGUGCGUAAUACAUAAGUAACCUGGCAUCUACAGGGGGAUAACUGAUGGAAACGUCAGCUAAGACCGCAUAGGUGUAGAGAUCGCAUGAACUCUAUAUGAAAAGUGCUACGGGACUGGUAGAUGGUGGACUUAUGGCGCAUUAGCUUGUUGGUAGGGUAACGGCCUACCAAGGCGACGAUGCGUAGCCGACCUGAGAGGGUGACCGGCCACACUGGGACUGAGACACGGCCCAGACUCCUACGGGAGGCAGCAGUAGGGAAUUUUCGGCAAUGGGGGAAACCCUGACCGAGCAACGCCGCGUGAAGGAAGAAGUAAUUCGUUAUGUAAACUUCUGUCAUAGAGGAAGAACGGUGGAUAUAGGGAAUGAUAUCCAAGUGACGGUACUCUAUAAGAAAGCCACGGCUAACUACGUG
rnacentral:rRNA from 1 species